UGAGUGCAGAGCUCCCUUUCUCUCAAACUAGAACCCCCAAAUCUUCCAUUCCGUACUCGAUGUCUUGUCUGCCUCUAGAGAAAUCGGAGGCAGACACUCCUCUCUGUAGGGGGCGAAGCUGGUGGCAGAAAAGGACUCCUGGCCAAUGCUCUUUGGGGCAGUCACCAGAAAAAGGCUGGAGCCCCAAGCCUCUGGUUUCAACACAGGCUGCUUCAAAUCCUCAGAGGAGCAGGAUGGCUUUGGGCACAGCUGAGUCAGCAGCGACCCGAGACAGCUUACACCAACCCUGUGUUGCACGGCAGGGCUGGUGUGAGAACGAAGGAAACCAAUGUACGCAAAGCACAGCACAGCGGGAAGGCUGGCCCCAGGCUCAGCCCAACACCCCCAUCUCUCCAUUCACCUGGUGUGAGCUGCAUAAAACCCCAGAGGCGGACACCGGGCACCUGCCCCAACCCCGCUUCUCCCCCUUCACGGUGCAUGCUGCUCUGUGUGGACCCAUCUGCAAGAACGCGCCCCAGGACGGGAUUCCUAAGAAGCGAUCCCUUACGUGGUUUACAUCUCUCCCCUGAACACCGUUUUCACUGCAAACACCCUAAAUAGACAUAUAUUUGAGAGAUCUCUGGCAUUGUCCCAGGUGCCCCAAAAUCUUAACAGAAGUUAAAGUGAACACUGCAGGCCUCAGUUGAUUGUGCUUUGCUUUACUGCCUUUCAUGCUAUGUUUCUUUACAAACUGAAGGCAAGACCCUCUACCAGCAAAAAGAUCACAACUCGCUUUACUGCGAUUCUGGACCCAAGCCCACAGUACCCAGAAGACGGGCCAUUUUGCUGGCUAUGGACUCCGGGGAACCUUUGUUCUUAAUCCCUUCUGGACUUAAGUACAACUUUCAAAACAAUUCUUUCUUUCCCUUUGAUGUUUAUAAGGGAUACUUUUUCAUGAAGUCAUAGAAAAGCACUUUUUGAAUGCUUUUAGCCCUUAGAGUGUGACUUAAAUCAUCAUCAUCGUCGUCAUCACAGCAGCCUUCAACGUUAUCUACUGAGCCCCUGUUGUGUAGGGCAUGGUGCCAGGCAUGGCAAUGCCCACCUCUGAAUCUGAGAAAUCAGAAGUCAAAAAGCACAGCGGCCCUGGCUGGUGCGGCUCAGCUGGUUGGGUGUUGUUCACAAGGCGAAGGAUCAUCAGUUUGAUUCCUGGUCAGGGCAUGUGCCUAGGUUGCAGGUUCAGACCCCAGUCAAGGUUCAUGCAGGAAGCAGCCGAUUGAUGUUUUUCUCGCACAUUGAUGUUUCUCUUCCUCUCUCCCUCCCUUCCCGUCUCUCUAAAAAUAAAUAAAUAAAAUCCUAAGAAAAGAAAGAAAGAGAGGAAGAAGGAAAGACCCAGGUAGAGUGGAGGAAAACGGACGCUGUUAUUGCCGGUGGUGGCUCUGUACCCCAGCUGCACGCUGCAAUCACCUGGGAAGCCUGGGCCCUGCCUGGGAAUCAGCAUUGUAAAUCUCCCCCAGGAGAUGCUGAGCGUGCAGCCAAGACUGGGAAUAAGUGGAAUCAAAAUUAGGGCCCGGGAACCUUGGCCCCGGUCCUGGCUGAAACUGAGGUGUGAAGAGGCAGGACCGGUGGCACUUACCUUGCCGCGUCUACAUGGGGAAUUUCCAGGCUUCCACCUGGAAUUUUCCAUCCCUUGGCCAAAGACUCAGAAUAAACAAGGACCUCUUUGCUCCUGGUAGUUUUCUUUUCCCUCUUUACACUGCCAUCCCCACCCCCAUAUUGAACACAGGGAUCUGUGGAGCCUUCCCACGCAUUUGGCCUCACACGGGAAAAAAGACCCCAGGUACACGGAAAUAUCCAGCAUACUCCCAGAAUCCAUAUCCAUUCUGCAAGAUCAACUGGGCUGAGGAAGAAGGGUGGCCUGGUUGCUGCUUUUAGCUGGAAAGGCAACAAAGAUCUAAUGGACUUCUAAAGCCUCUCUAGGCAGGCUGUGGGUAGCUGGUGGGGAUAAAGAGGCACAGAAGCAGAUGGAAGCCACUCAGCCAAGUCCCUGAGUCAGCAGAUGGCUGGAAACCUCGGCUCAGGGGCCCAGGCUGCCAGCGCUCUCUGCCCCUGCCCGCCCGGCUCCUCCCUGGAGGCAGGAAUUUUGGACACCCUCAAAUGGCCUAGCCCAGAAGCUGCCUGCCUCUCACUUGGAGAGGUUUUUCCACAGCUCCUCCCUAGGUAGACAAGUCCAGGAAUCUGUCUGUGCCCAGUUUCUAAUAAGCAACGACCUGUCCCAGGGGCGUGGACCAGGGCAGGAGGCAUCGACUCAGAGAUGUCUGUAGUGACCAAGGGCCAGCAUUUCCGCCCUGGAAAGGGCGGCAGCCAGGCUAAUUCCAUGUUAUUACAGCCUCACAGGAAACCAGCCUGGUCCAGCUGUCAGCCAGCAGCAAUUUAUGGGCAUUAGGGGCAGAGGGAGGGAGGAGAGGGAAGAGAAAGGAAAACACAGCCUUCCCCAUUCCCUCCCCCAAAAAUUGAUCCUAAGUUAUUUUUAGGUGCUUAUUCAUCCCAUUCAUUUCUCUUUAAGAGGCACAACACAGGCUCUGUGCAAACACCAUUUAGCAGGAGGCAACUGCUCACGCAGGGGCGGGGCAGGAGAGGGGUUACCUGUAUGAGAAGGAGGCAGAGAGAGCGUCUUGGAGGACCCUUCUCACAGUAAAAAUGCUCCCACAGUUCUGAAGACAGAGUAGGGAGGCAAAUGAAGAGAGGCUUUUAAAUCAGAAUCCCCAAGUUCAAGUCUUACCUCCAGUUUUCUCUCACUGGAUGGUCUUGGGCAGCUCACUGGGGAAGUGAGAUGAGACCUCAGGAUGGAACCCUGGCUGCCUGUGGCUUUGGGCAAAUCAUUCAGCCCUCUGUGCCUUAAUUUCCCUGUCUACAAACAAGGCUAGUUACUGUAUGUAAAACACCAGAAAAUUGCCUGACAUACCUAGUGUUAUAUAAGAGUGAGCUAUCGUUUCUAUUAUAGUACCAUGCACAUGUUAAUUAUUACUGUCAAUUUAAAAUAGUGUAUAGAACAGAGUAGGAAGCCACAGGAGGCCUGAGGUGAAAAAAGGUAAAGUUAGUUUUUUAGCCAAAGAACAUACAUGCAUAACUCACAGACACAGACAACAGUAUGGUGAUGGCCAGAGACGAGGGGCGGGGGGAGAAAUGGGGACAUUUGUA